UACGUAGGGGGCAAGCGUUGUUCGGAAUUACUGGGCGUAAAGGGCGCGUAGGCGGCCUGUUAAGUCACACGUGAAAUCCCUCGGCUCAACCGGGGAACUGCGUGUGAUACUGACGGGCUUGAAUUCGGGAGAGGGAUGUGGAAUUCCAGGUGUAGCGGUGGAAAUGCGUAGAUAUCUGGAGGAACACCGGUGGCGAAGGCGGCAUCCUGGACCAACACUGACGCUGAGGAGCGAAAGCCAGGGGAGCAAACGGG
rnacentral:rRNA from 1 species